CUGACCGUGCUAAGGUAGCAUAAUCACUCGCCUCUUAAUAGAAGGCUCGUAUAAAUGAUCUGACGGAAGGUAAACUGUCUCAGCUAUGUAAUAGAAUCUGACAUAAGGGUAAAAAGGCCCUUUCCCCCAAGGGGACGAUCAGACCCUAAAAACUUUAUCUACCUUUGCUCUUCCCCCUUUACCUUAAAAGAGUAGAAAUAGAUUUGCUGGGGCGGCAUUUUUUAAUACAAAAACAAUCUUUCUUAAAACACCUUGUGUGACACUUAUAACAUGCCUUUAAGACUAAAGACCAGUUACUUUAGGGAUAACAGCGCAACCCCUUCUAGAGCCCCUAUCGACAAGCAGGAAAGCGACCUCG
rnacentral:rRNA from 1 species